GUGGCUGUUGGUUAUGCUAUCAUGAUGACAAGAGACGAAGAUCUCACUUGGCAAAUGAGGGCAAUUCGAGUGCUGCCUAUGUUUGUUUUGCCUGCCAUAUGGUCUGUGGUAUAUUCAGCAGUCGUAAACUUCACAAGGAUGCGUAAGUAUCUUGAAACCCCUGUCAGAAUUCAUAAUUAGUGAUCCUCAUAUUUGAACUAUUUCUUCAAUAUUUUAAUCAUUCUUAGUGAGUCCUGCAUUGCUGCUGUCAUCCUGUCAUGUUUGUAUGAUUAUGUGUCGAAUGUGACUUCUGCAAACUAUAUAUUUGGCUUUAAUAUUGUGAAGUAUAUAACAGUAUGUUGUAGUCUGGCACACUGUUGUACUUGUCCACGGAUGUUGGUGUGAACUGUGUUUUUAAGUUUCUGGCUUGAAUUAAAAUAAUCAAACUAAUUUCCAUUCUUCUCAUUAAUGAUAAGUAUGCAAUACGAAGCAGUUUACAAUAUAUGUAUGCACUGGCACACAUAGCAUUCUUACUUCUUUGCACAUAUUUUAGUUGUGGUGCUUCUAGUUUGACUCACUCAAAUCUUUUACUUUCACUUGUGUGCAAUCUUAUCAGAGGUGAUAAAUUUCCUUUAGUAUUACCGAUCUUCCUAAAAUGGUUGUGCUUCUAGCAAAAGGAUUGUUGUGGGGUUUGACUUCAGAGGUUGUAAUAUGUAGCCUGUCUUACAAAGUUUAUGUUUAUGCUUUAUAAUGCAAACUUUGCAUUUUAGCUGGAAUGCUGGUUUGUUUAUUCUUUUCUUUUGUCGUUCUGAAAUUUGAUGGCAGUCAAAGUGUGUGUCAAAUUGCUUGGGACUUAGAUAAGUGUAAAUAAUAUCUCCAUGAAAGUGGUUGUUGUCCCCCUGGAUCCUAUUUAUCCGAAUAGAAACAUGGUGUGAUUAAUUUUAUCCGAAAGCAAUCUUAGGAAGUGAAGAUGGAUGCAGGGAUUAUCGUUUGUCUUAAUUGCCAAUUCUAUUGAAGUAUUGCACGUUAAUCAUCUUUCAUAUUUUUGUACAGUGACAAGAUAUACUCCCUCCAUUCACAAAUAUAAGAUGUUCUAACUUUUUUGUGAAUCGGAUGUAUGUAGACACGUUUUAGUGUGUUUGUUCACUCAUUUCAGUCCGUAUUUAGUCCAUAUUGAAAUAUCCAAAACAUCUUAUAUUUGUGAACUAAGGGAGUAUUUGGCAAAUUAUUAACACUCUAUUUGGCAUAACUGCUGUAUCAGAACAAAUAUUGAUAGUUGCAUGAUUGCUUGACAUGUUAAGUGUUGGAGAUUUGAAUCUUCUCAUGUCUAAAUUUGCAUGCUUGUUCUGAUACACAAAUGACAAAUGGGCAACGCUCUUUUUGCUAGGAAGGAUCUUGGCACUAAUGUUGUCUUGUGAUAUGUAUUAAUAUGUUAAUCUUGUCCAGUACUAACCUAUAUGAUUUAUCAUCUUAUCAGUAAACCUUGUUAGUAUCAUUGAAUUACUUCCCUCUGUUCACAGUUGAACGGAAAGAUGAGAAAACACUUGAAAAGUUGAGAGCUGAAAGGAAAGCCAAGAUUGAUGAACUGAAAGAACGGACGAAUUAUUACCUUACCCAACAACUUAUCCAGGUAAGCGGUCAUUGGUCAAGCCAUUGAGUUCAUUACUUCGGAUAGAAUUUUAUCAUGGCAUUGACACAACAGUACUAAAUGAUGACAAAGUGUAUCCCAACUUGAACAUGUGCAGAAAUAUGAUCUUGAUCCAGCUGCAAAAGCUGCUGCAGCUUCGGUUUUGGCAUCUAAGCUGGGAGCGGAUUCUGGCUUAAGAGUACAUCUUGGGGAAGAACCAAAUUCUGAUGCAGCAGUGGUUAUGAGCAACAAUGCUGAGAUAUUGCCAUCAGAUGGGCUGAGAAACAGGAAGCAACCCAAUGCAAGAGGCAGCAGGACUGGUAGCACUACAGCUGCUCAUACUUCGGCACAAGGUGCUGAAUCUAGCCCAGCUCUUAAUGCUGGCCUGGAAAACGUACAGCUUACAAGGGCUGUAGAACAUUAUCAAGGCUCUGGGGCAAGUGAUGGUGGAUGGAUUGCAAAAAUCGCUGCCUUACUUGUUGGGGAGGACCCGUCACAGUCGUACGCUUUGAUCUGCGGCAAUUGCCAUAUGCAUAAUGGUAUGUAUGAGAAACAAAACUCUGACCUUUUUAGCUACUCCCUCUGUCUCAAUAUGUAAGACGUUCUUUGACACUAGAUAGUGUAAAAGAAGUCUUACAUUUUGAGGCAGAGGGAGUAUUUCCUUGGAAAGAAUGGACACAUGACCUACCCAACUUACUAAUGUGCAGGCUUGGCCCGGAAGGAAGAUUACCCACACAUUACAUACUAUUGCCCACAUUGUCAUGCUCUAAACACAUCAAAGAACUCGAUGGGGCAAUACUCAGGCUCCAACUCAGGCCCAUCGACCCCAGUUGCUCCUGCUGAUGUGAUAUCUGCUGCCAGCUCAGUAGUAGAGAGUGAAUUGAUUAACUUGGCUACAGUGCAGGAGUUGCCAAAGGAAGAACACGCGGAGAAGGAAGUGGAGGCAAGUUGAAGCGGGUCCGUACUAUUACUGUUGAUCUUUGUGAGAUUAGUUCAUAUCGCCGUGUUUGAACUGGUUUGAGCCGCAUAUGUAGCACUGUUGUAAAAUUGGAAAUAGAUGACCUAUAUGAUCCACAGCAAAACCAGUACAAUAAUUGUUUAGCCAGUUUGUCCAUGGACACUUGAGGGGACGAAUUUUGUUGGCAAUGGGGACUGCCGGAGAGGAGAAUGGCAACGUGCUGCCUGGCAAGUCGAGGUUGGAAAGCUAUGAGGUGGAGGCGAACAGAUGAGAUCAGUCGGGUGACGUUGCAACAUGGCGGUGGUGUAAAAACAUAGAUAUGAUCGACGCUUCUAUUUUACCCAUAUUUGUGUGGCAGUUGCUCCAUUGGAGAUGCGGAAUUUUUGACAUUGUUUGGACAUUUACGGUCACAGCUUCAUUUUGUAAUCUUGAUAGCGUUAUGUUUCGCUGACUGAUGUCUCGUAUCCUUGGCGCGAUGAUACUUCAACUUGUAGUUUCGUUUUGCCUGGGCUUAAGCUGGGUUAGUGGGUUGUAUGCGGUAUGCCCCCGCAACAAUAGAACAUCAUCGUCUUAGCAUCCCAUAACUUUUGGCAGAUCUUUUUUGUAACUUUCAAACAUGGUUUCCGGCUUUCCGCGAAGUUUUCUUUGAAUUUGGUUUGCAUAUGAUAUUCACAUUGGUGCACAUACUGAUUUUAAUUUUUUGAGAAAAAACACACAGUUAGCUGAGUCAAGUUGUUGGUGUCGCUGCGUGAUUCUCCAC
rnacentral:lncRNA from 1 species